rnacentral:rRNA from 1 species
AUGAACGCUGGCGGCGUGCCUAAUACGUGCAAGUCGAGCGAACAGACGAGGAGCUUGCUCCUCUGACGUUAGCGGCGGACGGGUGAGUAACACGUGGAUAACCUACCUAUAAGACUGGGAUAACUUCGGGAAACCGGAGCUAAUACCGGAUAAUAUAUUGAACCGCAUGGUUCAAUAGUGAAAGACGGUUUUGCUGUCACUUAUAGAUGGAUCCGCGCCGCAUUAGCUAGUUGGUAAGGUAACGGCUUACCAAGGCAACGAUGCGUAGCCGACCUGAGAGGGUGAUCGGCCACACUGGAACUGAGACACGGUCCAGACUCCUACGGGAGGCAGCAGUAGGGAAUCUUCCGCAAUGGGCGAAAGCCUGACGGAGCAACGCCGCGUGAGUGAUGAAGGUCUUCGGAUCGUAAAACUCUGUUAUUAGGGAAGAACAAAUGUGUAAGUAACUAUGCACGUCUUGACGGUACCUAAUCAGAAAGCCACGGCUAACUACGU